UACGAAAGGGGCUAGCGUUGUUCGGAAUUACUGGGCGUAAAGCGCACGUAGGCGGCCAUGUAAGUUGGGGGUGAAAUCCCGGGGCUCAACCCCGGAACUGCCUUCAAAACUACAUAGCUAGAGGAUGUGAGAGGAUAGUGGAAUUCCGAGUGUAGAGGUGAAAUUCGUAGAUAUUCGGAAGAACACCGGUGGCGAAGGCGACUGUCUGGCACAUUUCUGACGCUGAGGUGCGAAAGCGUGGGGAGCAAACAGG
rnacentral:rRNA from 1 species